rnacentral:rRNA from 1 species
CACGUAGGGUGCGAGCGUUUGUCCGGAAUUAUUGGGCGUAAAGAGCUCGUAGGCGGUGUGUCGCGUCGGCCGUGAAAACCUGCAGCUUAACUGUGGGCUUGCGGUCGAUACGGGCAUCACUGGAGUUCGGCAGGGGAGACUGGAAUUCCUGGUGUAGCGGUGAAAUGCGCAGAUAUCAGGAGGAACACCGGUGGCGAAGGCGGGUCUCUGGGCCGAUACUGACGGCUGAUGCGCGAAAGCCCAGGGGAGCGAACGGG